AGAGUUUGAUCCUGGCUCAGAUUGAACGCUGGCGGCAGGCCUAACACAUGCAAGUCGAGCGGAUGAAGGGAGCUUGCUCCUGGAUUCAGCGGCGGACGGGUGAGUAAUGCCUAGGAAUCUGCCUGGUAGUGGGGGAUAACGUCCGGAAACGGGCGCUAAUACCGCAUACGUCCUGAGGGAGAAAGUGGGGGAUCUUCGGACCUCACGCUAUCAGAUGAGCCUAGGUCGGAUUAGCUAGUUGGUGGGGUAAAGGCCUACCAAGGCGACGAUCCGUAACUGGUCUGAGAGGAUGAUCAGUCACACUGGAACUGAGACACGGUCCAGACUCCUACGGGAGGCAGCAGUGGGGAAUAUUGGACAAUGGGCGAAAGCCUGAUCCAGCCAUGCCGCGUGUGUGAAGAAGGUCUUCGGAUUGUAAAGCACUUUAAGUUGGGAGGAAGGGCAGUAAGUUAAUACCUUGCUGUUUUGACGUUACCAACAGAAUAAGCACCGGCUAACUUCGUGCCAGCAGCCGCGGUAAUACGAAGGGUGCAAGCGUUAAUCGGAAUUACUGGGCGUAAAGCGCGC
rnacentral:rRNA from 1 species